rnacentral:rRNA from 1 species
UACGGGGGGAGCAAGCGUUGUUCGGAUUUACUGGGCGUAAAGCGCGCGUAGGCGGCUUUGCAAGUCGGGUGUGAAAUCCCCAGGCUUAACCUGGGAACUGCAUUCGAGACUGCAUUGCUAGAGUAUGGGAGAGGGAAGUGGAAUUCCCGGUGUAGCAGUGAAAUGCGUAGAGAUCGGGAGGAACACCAGUGGCGAAGGCGACUACCUGGACCAGCACUGACACUGAGGCACGAAAGCGUGGGGAGCAAACAGG